GGGGGAUAUUGCACAAUGGAGGAAACUCUGAUGCAGCGACGCCGCGUGAGGGAAGAAGGUCUUCGGAUUGUAAACCUCUGUCUUCGGGGACGAAACAAAUGACGGUACUCGAGGAGGAAGCCACGGCUAACUACGUGCCAGCAGCCGCGGUAAUACGUAGGUGGCAAGCGUUGUCCGGAAUUACUGGGUGUAAAGGGAGCGCAGGCGGAGCUGCAAGUUGGGUGUUAAAUCUACGGGCUUAACUCGUAGUUGCAUUCAAAACUGUGGCUCUUGAGUAGUGCAGAGGUAGGCGGAAUUCCCGGUGUAGCGGUGGAAUGCGUAGAUAUCGGGAGGAACACCAGUGGCGAAGGCGGCCUACUGGGCACCAACUGACGCUGAGGCUCGAAAGUAUGGGUAGCAAAC
rnacentral:rRNA from 1 species